rnacentral:rRNA from 1 species
AACGAACGCUGGCGGCAUGCCUAACACAUGCAAGUCGAACGAGACCUCCGGGUCUAGUGGCGCACGGGUGCGUAACGCGUGGGAACUUGCCCUUAGGCUCGGAAUAACUCCCUGAAAGGGGUGCUAAGAACGGAUAAUGUCUUCGGACCAACGACUUAUCGCCAUUGGAUGGGCUCGUGUUGGAUUAGCUAGUUGGUAAGGUAAAAGCCUGCCAAGGCCACGAUCCAUAGCUGGUCUGGGAGCAGGACCAGCCACACUGGAGCUACGGCACGGCCCAGACUCCUACGCAGGGGAGGAGUAGGGAAUAUUAGACGAGAGGGCAAGGCCUGAUCCCGCCAUGCCAGGUAAGAGGUGAAGGGCUUAGGAAUGUAAAGCUCGUUUACCCGGGGUGAUAAUGACGGUACCGGGAGAAUAAGCACCGGCUAACUCCGUG